GGGUGAUUAGCUCAGUUGGUAGAGCGUCUGCCUUACAAGCAGAAUGUCGGCGGUUCGACUCCGUCGUCACCCACCA
rnacentral:tRNA from 1 species